UUCUUAUAGAAUUAAUUAUAAGUACAAUCUGCUCAAUGAAUUUAAAUAGCCGCAGGAUUAUUACUGUGCUAAGGUAGCAUAAUCAUUUGCCUUUUAAUUAAAGGCCAGUAUGAAAGAUUAAACAUUUAAAUUUUUCUAUUCAAUAUAAUUUUUAAAUUUAAUUUAAAUGUAAAAAACCAUUUAUUUAAAAGAAAGACGACAAGACCCUAUUGAACUUUACUUUAGUUUAACUGGGGUAGUUAAUUAAUUAAAAUCUUAAUUUCAUCAAAAACUAUAAUAAACGACCCAAUAAAAUUGAUUAAUUGAUCAAGUUACCAUAGGGAUAACAGCGUAAUAAAAUUUUAAAGUUCUUAUUAAAAAUUUAGAUUGCGACCUCGAUGUUGAAUGUUAACUCUAUUACUUAAUGCAACCAUUUAAAAAGAAGGUCUGUUCGACCUUUAAAUUAUCACA
rnacentral:rRNA from 1 species